GCUGAGGGAAACCAGUUGGGCAAUAUUCAACAAGUGUUUAUUGAUCCCUGAUUAGGUCCCAGCCAGUGUGCAACUUCGUUUCAUAACAUUAAAAUAUGUUGCAAGUUGGCUCUGUAUGAUUAUCCCAGCAAGGGAAGAGAGCACAGAGGGGGCUGUGCCAGCAGUUGAAGAUGUCAAAGCAGACUUGUUAUAUGAGUCCACCUACCUCCAAAAAAGGUCUAAAUUCAGAAACUAACAUCUGGACCAGGGAAGCUGAGGUGACUGAUGACCGCGCUUGUGUUUGCACAUACAGUAUUGUACUACAUUUUCAAUCACAUUGCGCAUCGGAUAACUCUAAGACAGAUGAGGUCCACCUGCUCCAGGUGUGGCAGCCUCCAGGAACCAUCAGGAACUGCCCCGGGCGGGGCCAGGACAGCGGAGCCGUCAAGAAGUCAGAUGUCUUCAGCAGUUGUUUAACUCUGAAAUUCAAGGUGUGGGGAAAGUCUCUCCAGAAAUAGGGUUUCUUUUAAGGUUUUGUUGUUGUUGUUGUUGCUGUUGUUCUGUUUUUCACAUGGUUGGAGUCUCCUGUGUAUGAUGGCCAAUCUAUUAUGCAAUUUUUGUAGCUCUGAAGUGAUAAU
rnacentral:lncRNA from 1 species